GCAACACUUCUUUUGCCAGUUUCAUUUUCAGUGAAACCAUAACUUAGAAGUAGUGCAUGCUCUCACACAAACGCAGAUCACAAACCUAACAGCAGCAGACUCAGGGAAACGGUAACCUAAACGGAGUUCCACCUACUCUCACACAAACACAGAGAUCAGAUACUUGACGGCAGCAGACGAACGCAGGAUGAUGAAGAUGUCAGGAAGUGCCACGAUUUGUUGCGUAGCUCUGUUCUUCACCAUGACUUCUGUGUCGGCUGUACAAAGGCUCAAUUCAAUCAAUGAUUUAAAGAAAAUCGACUAUGGCCAAUCUGUGCCCAAACACAGCCUCGUGCUGCUCUACUGGUUUGCCAACACAGUGGAUAUCGACAACAACAAUAUAUCCCUGACCUUUGACCCUAACAGUGGAGAUUAUGGCUCACAUUAUUAUAGCAAUUUUGAAGGGCUGUUGGACCCACUGCCUUGGGGAAAUAGAUACCGAUACUACACUAUUGGCAAUCUCCAUCAAGAAACAUCCAUGCCACUCCCACAUUAUGUUGUCCAUCACCCAACACAAGGAAACAGGGACAGGAUCAUAAUUCGUGUCAGGGACCAGAACAUAGCAGGGCAAGCUAGGAUAGACCAAGUGUAUAUCACACAGCAUAUUCAACAUGAGGGUACAUAUGAUCCAGAUCAUACCUAUCAGAUCACUACUAACCUCCUGA